rnacentral:rRNA from 1 species
UUGUCCUACGGGACGCAGCAGUGAGGAGUAUUGGUCAAUGGGCGGGAGCCUGAACCAGCCAAGUCGCGUGAGGGACGACGGUCCUAUGGAUUGUAAACCUCUUUUGUCGGGGAACAAAGGCGCCCACGGGUGGGCGGAUGAGUGUACCCGAAGAAAAAGCAUCGGCUAACUCCGUGCCAGCAGCCGUGGUAAUACGGAGGAUGCGAGCGUUAUCCGGAUUUAUUGGGUUUAAAGGGUACGUAGGCGGACAGUCAAGUCAGCGGUAAAAAUGCGGUGCUCAACGCCGUACAGCCGUUGAAACUGGG